AUUGAACGCUGGCGGCAGGCUUAACACAUGCAAGUCGAGCGGAGAGAGGUAGCUUGCUACCGAUCUUAGCGGCGGACGGGUGAGUAAUGCUUAGGAAUCUGCCUAUUAGUGGGGGACAACAUUUCGAAAGGAAUGCUAAUACCGCAUACGUCCUACGGGAGAAAGCAGGGGAUCUUCGGACCUUGCGCUAAUAGAUGAGCCUAAGUCGGAUUAGCUAGUUGGUGGGGUAAAGGCCUACCAAGGCGACGAUCUGUAGCGGGUCUGAGAGGAUGAUCCGCCACACUGGGACUGAGACACGGCCCAGACUCCUACGGGAGGCAGCAGUGGGGAAUAUUGGACAAUGGGCGGAAGCCUGAUCCAGCCAUGCCGCGUGUGUGAAGAAGGCCUUAUGGUUGUAAAGCACUUUAAGCGAGGAGGAGGCUACUUUAGUUAAUACCUAGAGAUAGUGGACGUUACUCGCAGAAUAAGCACCGGCUAACUCUGUGCCAGCCGCCGCCGUAACAC
rnacentral:rRNA from 1 species